rnacentral:rRNA from 1 species
UACAGAGGAUGCAAGCGUUAAUCGGAAUUACUGGGCGUAAAGCGUGCGCAGGCGGUUUUGUAAGUCUGUCGUGAAAUCCCCGGGCUCAACCUGGGAAUUGCGAUGGAGACUGCAAGGCUAGAAUCUGGCAGAGGGGGGUAGAAUUCCACGUGUAGCAGUGAAAUGCGUAGAGAUGUGGAGGAACACCGAUGGCGAAGGCAGCCCCCUGGGUCAAGAUUGACGCUCAUGCACGAAAGCGUGGGGAGCAAACAGG